CCUACGGGUGGCAGCAGUGAGGAAUAUUGGUCAAUGGGCGUAAGCCUGAACCAGCCAAGUCGCGUGAAGGAUGACGGUUCUAUGGAUCGUAAACCUCUUUUAUAAGGGAAUAAAAUGUGGGACGUGUCCUAUUUUGUAUGUACCUUAUGAAUAAGGAUCGGCUAACUCCGUGCCAGCAGCCGCGGUAAUACGGAGGAUCCGGGCGUUAUCCGGAUUUAUUGGGUUUAAAGGGUGCGUAGGCGGCCUGUUAAGUCAGCGGUGAAAGUCUGUGGCUCAACCAUAGAAUUGCCGUUGAAACUGGCAGGCUUGAGUAUGGUUGAGGCAGGCGGAAUGCGUGGUGUAGCGGUGAAAUGCUUAGAUAUCACGCAGAACCCCGAUUGCGAAGGCAGCCUGCCAAGCCAUGACUGACGCUGAUGCACGAAAGCGUGGGGAUCAAACAGGAUUAGAUACCCGUGUAGUC
rnacentral:rRNA from 1 species